rnacentral:rRNA from 1 species
UGAGUAGGCGGUUGUAUAUGUCAGGUGUAAAGGCUAUGGCUUAACCAUGGUUAGCACUUGAAACUGUACAACUUGAGUGCAGGAGAGGUAAGUGGAAUUCCUAGUGUAGCGGUGAAAUGCGUAGAUAUUAGGAGGAACACCAGUGGCGAAGGCGACUUACUGGACUGUAACUGACGCUGAGUCACGAAAGCGUGGGUAGCAAACA